ACGAACGCUGGCGGCGUGCUUAACACAUGCAAGUCGAACGGAAAGGCCCUGCUUUUGUGGGGUGCUCGAGUGGCGAACGGGUGAGUAACACGUGAGUAACCUGCCCUUGACUUUGGGAUAACUUCAGGAAACUGGGGCUAAUACCGGAUAGGAGCUCCUGCUGCAUGGUGGGGGUUGGAAAGUUUCGGCGGUUGGGGAUGGACUCGCGGCUUAUCAGCUUGUUGGUGGGGUCGUGGCUUACCAAGGCUUUGACGGGUAGCCGGCCUGAGAGGGUGACCGGCCACAUUGGGACUGAGAUACGGCCCAGACUCCUACGGGAGGCAGCAGUGGGGAAUAUUGCACAAUGGGCGGAAGCCUGAUGCAGCAACGCCGCGUGCGGGAUGACGGCCUUCGGGUUGUAAACCGCUUUCGCCUGUGACGAAGCGUGAGUGACGGUAAUGGGUAAAGAAGCACCGGCUAACUACGUG
rnacentral:rRNA from 1 species